AUGAUGUCUGACAAUCAUUUCGAGGGAGACAUCCCUGCCUCACUACAAAAUGCCUCUCGCAUGAGGUUUAUCCAUCUAGGCGACAACUCUCUGACUGGGGUGAUUCCUUCCUUCAGCUCCAUGCCCAGCUUGAAGUAUGUGAUGUUGUACUCAAACCAGCUAGAGGCUGGAGACUGGACAUUCUUCUCCUCCUUGGCGAAUUGUACACAGCUCCAAAAUCUGAAUGUGGACACAAACAAUUUGCGUGGGGAUUUACCAGCAAAUUCCAUAGCGAAUCUGCCCAAAAGCUUGACCGCUCUAUCUCUAAAUUCAAACAACAUCUUAGGCACUAUUCCCAUGGAGAUUGGAAACCUGUCUAAUCUUUCCAUGCUCUAUCUUGAUACAAAUCUUUUCACGGGACCUAUACCUUCUACCAUUGGUCAGCUAAGCAACUUGAUUGUGCUUAGUCUGUCGAAAAACAAAUUUUUCGGGGAAAUACCUCCUUCCAUUGGCAUCCUAAACCAACUAGAAGAGCUUUACCUGCAAGAAAAUCAAUUGAGUGGAAGCAUACCUGAAAGUUUAGGCGGCUGCCAUAACUUGUUGGCAGUAAACCUUUCGAGUAAUACCCUCGGUGGAAUCAUAAGCGGGCACAUGUUCGCCAGGUUGAAUUCAUUGAGUUGGCUAAUUGAUUUAUCACACAACCAACUCACAAUGUCCAUACCAGUAGAGAUGGGUAGCUUGAUAAACCUUGGGUCCUUGAACAUCUCUCACAACAAUCUCACGGGAAGAAUACCGUCCACACUCGGUGCAUGUGUCCGGUUGGAAGCGCUUCGUGUAGAAGGGAACCUCCUACAAGGAAGUAUUCCACAAUCACUAUCAAACCUCAAAGGGAUCCAAGUGUUAGAUUUCUCCCAGAACAAUCUGUCUGGUACUAUCCCGGAGUUCCUUGAGACCUUCACCUCAUUGGAGUAUCUGAAUAUGUCCUUCAACAACUUGGAAGGACUAGUUCCCACGGGUGGAGUGUUUGCUAAUAAAAGUGGUGUUUUUGUCCAAGGAAACCCACACCUUUGUGCAAACAUUGCAGUAGAAGGAUUGCCUGUGUGCUUUGAUUCGGCAUCUGCAAAAAAGCACAAGUUUUUCAUUCCGAUGAUGAUAGCUCUAUCAACUCUGGUUACACUUGCUUUGAUCUUGGGUAUGUUCAAUUUUUUGUUGAAGCGA
rnacentral:rRNA from 1 species